GGUGGCUGCUGGGCUGGCGGGGCGCAGGCCGCGGGACCCGAGCCCGGGGGAGCGAGAGAGCGGAGGCGCCGAGGAUCCGAUUCAUUCGCUGGGGAGACCUAUGGGCCGAAGCCGUGUAGAUGCGUUUUAAGCAGGGGCCUCGGCUCCGCAACUGCCACUCCUCCUCGGGGUGUUGCACAAGUUUCGAGGUCACCGGCGACCCCCCCUAGCAGCGCUCCUGGCUCUGGCCCCCGCGAAGGAGGACGGAGUUUGGCAGAGAUGGAGUUGGUCCAGCAUAUUGGAAUCCCUGCCAGUAAGAUCAUCUGCGCCAACCCCUGUAAGCAAAUUGCACAGAUCAAAUAUGCUGCCAAGCAUGGGAUCCAGCUGCUGAGCUUUGACAAUGAGAUGGAGCUGGCAAAGGUGGUAAAGAGCCACCCCAGUGCCAAGAUGGUUCUGUGCAUUGCUACUGAUGACUCCCACUCCCUGAGCUGCCUGAGCCUAAAGUUUGGAGUGUCACUGAAAUCCUGCAGACACCUGCUUGAAAAUGCGAAGAAGAACCAUGCGGAGGUGGUGGGUGUGAGUUUUCACAUUGGCAGUGGCUGUCCUGACCCUCAGGCCUAUGCUCAGUCCAUCGCAGAUGCCCGGCUCGUGUUUGAAAUGGGCACCGAGCUGGGUCACAAGAUGCACGUUCUGGACCUUGGUGGUGGCUUCCCUGGCACAGAAGGGGCCAAAGUGAGAUUUGAAGAG
rnacentral:sRNA from 1 species